UACAGAGGGGGCAAGCGUUGUUCGGAAUUACUGGGCGUAAAGGGCGCGUAGGCGGCCCUGUAAGUCCGCUGUGAAAGUCAAGGGCUCAACCCUUGAAUGCCGGUGGAUACUGCAGGGCUAGAGUCCGGAAGAGGCGAGUGGAAUUCCUGGUGUAGCGGUGAAAUGCGCAGAUAUCAGGAGGAACACCCGUGGCGAAAGCGGCUCUCUGGAACGGUACUGACGCUGAGACGCGAAAGCGUGGGGAGCGAACAGG
rnacentral:rRNA from 1 species